rnacentral:rRNA from 1 species
GACGAACGCUGGCGGCGUGCUUAACACAUGCAAGUCGAACGGAAAGGCCCUGCUUUUGUGGGGUGCUCGAGUGGCGAACGGGUGAGUAACACGUGAGUAACCUGCCCUUGACUUUGGGAUAACUUCAGGAAACUGGGGCUAAUACCGGAUAGGAGCUCCUGCUGCAUGGUGGGGGUUGGAAAGUUUCGGCGGUUGGGGAUGGACUGGCGGCUUAUCAGCUUGUUGGUGGGGUAGUGGCUUACCAAGGCUUUGACGGGUAGCCGGCCUGAGAGGGUGACCGGCCACAUUGGGACUACGAGACGGCCCAGAGUCCUACGGGAGGCAGCAGUGGGGAAUAUUGCACAAUGGGCGGAAGCCUGAUGCAGCAGCGCCGCGUGCGGGAUGACGGCCUUCGGGUUGUAAACCGCUUUCGCCUGUGACGAAGCGUGAGUGACGGUAAUGGGUAAAGAAGCACCGGCUAACUACGUG